rnacentral:hammerhead_ribozyme from 1 species
GCACUGCUGAUGAGACCCAACCAGAUCGAAAUAGUUGUCCAGUGC